UGUAAGCGUAUCGUGUUGUGUGAGCAAGAGCCCUGAGUUGUAUUCUGAUACACGUAUUCCAGUCCUUUCGGGGCUCAGCAUGCUCGAAUUCUUUACAAUGCGGAUCACCGUUAUAGGGGAAUUCUGAGUGCCCUUUAUAUGCGGUCUGUCCAUGUGGUUUAAAUAUCCAGUUGAAUAAAGGUCCGGACAAGACCGGUGACAUCCGCCGCGUUAAUACCGUCGGUUCGAUUGUUGGCCAUUAUUACUGGGCUUAAAGCGUUCGUAGCUGUUUUUUUAAGUCUCUGGUGAAAUCUUCCGUUUUAAUCCGGAAGGUCUUUUCUAGGGAUAUUGGACAGACUAAGGGACCCGGGAGAUGUUGAGGGUAUACUCACAGGGUUAGUGAUUGAAAUCCCUGUAAUCCCUUGGGGGACCACCUGUGCCGAAGGCGCCUCACCAGAACGGCUCCGACAGUGAGGGACGAAAGUCUGGGUGAGCAAACCGGAUUAGAUACCCGGGUAGUCCCAGCUGUAAACGAUGUGCGUUAGGUGUAUCGGUGACCACGAGUCACCGAGGUGCCGAAGAGAAAUCGUGAAACGUACCGCCUGGGAAGUACGUUCGCAAGGCUGAAACUCAAAUGAAUUGACGG
rnacentral:rRNA from 1 species